UCGGGAAUUUUGGGCAAUGGGCGAAAGCCUGACCCAGCAACGCCGCGUGAAGGAUGAAGUAUUUCGGUAUGUAAACUUCGAAAGAAUAGGAAGAAUAAAUGACGGUACUAUUUAUAAGGUCCGGCUAACUACGUGCCAGCAGCCGCGGUAAUACGUAGGGACCAAGCGUUGUUCGGAUUUACUGGGCGUAAAGGGCGCGUGGGCGGCAAUUCAAGUCAUCUGUGAAAUCUCCGGGCUUAACUCGGAACGGUCAGAUGAUACUGCUUUGCUAGAGUGCAGAAGGGGCAAUCGGAAUUCUUGGUGUAGCGGUGAAAUGCGUAGAUAUCAAGAGGAACACCUGAGGUGAAGACGGGUUGCUGGGCUGACACUGACGCUGAGGCGCGAAAGCCAGGGGAGCAAACGGGAUUAGAUACCCCCGUAGUCCCUGAGCGGGCUGGCAAGGCGCAU
rnacentral:rRNA from 1 species